rnacentral:tRNA from 1 species
UGCCCUAUGGUGUAAUGGUUUGAGCACAACGGUCUCUAAAACCGUACGAGUUGGUUCGAAUCCAACUGGGGCAA